rnacentral:rRNA from 1 species
UGGGGGAUAUUGCACAAUGGGCGAAAGCCUGAUGCAGCGACGCCGCGUGGGGGAUGAAGGCUUUCGGGUUGUAAACCUCUUUCGCUAUCGAACAAGGCCCGCUUAGGGUGGGGUGAGGGUAGGUGGAGAAGAAGCGCCGGCUAACUACGUGCCAGCAGCCGCGGUAAUACGUAGGGCGCGAGCGUUGUCCGGAAUUAUUGGGCGUAAAGGGCUUGUAGGCGGCUUGUUGCGCCUGCUGUGAAAACGCGGGGCUUAACUUCGCGCGUGCAGUGGGUACGGGCAGGCUUGAGUGUGGUAGGGGUGACUGGAAUUCCAGGUGUAGCGGUGGAAUGCGCAGAUAUCUGGAGGAACACCGAUGGCGAAGGCAGGUCACUGGGCCAUUACUGACGCUGAGGAGCGAAAGCAUGGGUAGCGAACAGG